UCCUCCCUCUUUCUUCGUGCUUAACACAUGCAAGUCGAACGAAGAGCGAUGGACGCUUGCUUCUAUCAAUCUUAGUGGCGAACGGGUGAGUAACGCGUAAUCAACCUGCCCUUCAGAGGGGGACAACAGUUGGAAACGACUGCUAAUACCGCAUACGAUCUAAUCUCGGCAUCGAGGAUAGAUGAACGGUGGCCUCUACAUGUAAGCUAUCACUGCAGGAGGGGAUUGCGUCUGAUUAGCUAGUUGGAGGGGUAACGGCCCACCAAGGCGAUGAUCAGUAGCCGGUCUGAGAGGAUGAACGGCCACAUUGGGACUGAGACACGGCCCAGACUCCUACGGGAGGCAGCAGUGGGGAAUCUUCCGCAAUGGACGAAAGUCUGACGGAGCAACGCCGCGUGAGUGAGGACGGCCUUCGGGUUGUAAAGCUCUGUUAAUCGGGACGAAAGGCCUUCUUGCGAAUAGUGAGAAGGAUUGACGGUACCGGAAUAGAAAGCCACGGCUAACUACGUG
rnacentral:rRNA from 1 species